GUUUUUUCGGAAUGAUUAGACAAAUGCUUCUUUAACAGUUUCAUUAUUUUUGCUCGCAAAUAUCUCUUCUGCUGUGGUUGCUUGGAAAAUGUUAGAAAAGAUGUAGACUUGCUGUUAGCAGCUGCAUAUGGUUAUGGUACUGUUAGAUUAUCGCAGAAAAAUUCGCCUCAUGUUUGAGAAGUCAUCACAGCUUCCUACUGUCUGAGCACAGUUACCACAUAGAGUGCUAUGUUUGUUUCACAGCUGAAUACAUUUUGUGUGUGCAUGCUGUGCUAAUUCUAAUCAUUUGUUAAUAUAUUUUGAGGCGUAGGAGUGCAAUGCCUGGUAACGUUCUGUGUGCUUGCAUUUGUGCGUGUUAUAAUGGGCAUUUUUGCGUAUUGGUUCAUUUAGUGCAGAUGGCAGUCCGUGGCAGCCUACCAGACACACCAGGAUCUGCAGCUGUCACUUUGUAAAUGACGAGAAGUCGAACGAUCCGAGAAGCCCUGACUAUCUACCAACCUUGUUUUCAAGUGUGUACAGGUCUACCAACGUUGCUACUGCACACAGGUAUGAAAGGCACCGGUCACGUGAGCAGCACGGACAAGCCACAUGGAGCUGUGUGUUGCCAGUUCCUGACGACCAAGAAUGGGGUGGUGCAACUGCAGUGCACACAAGUGUAGGAACGCAGACAGACCCUUGCACGUGGUUGUCGGAGGUGGAUAUGCCGAGCCUCUUCUUUUGUUGUUUAAAAGAAUGCGAAGCUAAGACGCAGGUUGUUCUUGCCUGCAAGAAGGAAAGCAAGGAUGCAUCAUGGGGAACAUCCUACGACGUCAAGGACGAUGCAUGUGAUCCUAUGAACGUUGACCACACGACCUCAAGCCCUGGCUUCUGUGGUUAUGCGACUGUUUCAUUCUGCCCCAGUGAAAGAGCUUCAGAUGUUUUAAAGUGUAUUGCUGGAGUUUCACGGAGUGUUUUUACAAAGCUGCUAUGUCUUGUAGUUCCAUUUUACAGCGAUUGUUUUUAGGCCCUUUUACAGCCACGACACAUCUACCUUUGGCAAUUCAUUGCUCCAUUGUCAACUUAUUAACACAGGCCUGGCGCUCUUUGGCCAUACCUGGCCCUUGCGCCAUUAAACACCAUACAUCAUCAUGUCUUGUAGUUCAGGCGCUCAAUGUACAGGGAAUGAGGACACCACCAGGGCUUCAAACAAAUUACUUCUUUUUUAGAUGAAGCUAAAACUAAACUUGUCCUACUCGUCCUUGGCAGUGUUUUUUGGGUUGCACAGAACCACAUGUUCAAGGCAUUUUCUGUUCAUCUUUUCCAGUCUCCAUGUAAAAAUGCGGCCAGUAAAUUACUGGCCAUCACGGUCAACCACACAGCUGAUGAUGCCCAACUGUUUGAAGCCCGACUAUGUGAACUGCAGGGUUAUCAUUGACUGCACAGAAGUACCCUGCGCGGCGCCAAGCACUGUCGAUGAGAAAGUGCUCAUGUAUUCGAGCUACAAAGGAACAUACACUGUGAAAUUCCUUGUAGAAAUAACUCCAAGUGGCAUCAUAAGCUAUAUAUCGAGGCCUUAUGGGGGCCGUGCCACCGACUCUCUUAUCACAUCUGACUGUGGCAUAUUGCACAUGCGUGAGCCAGGGGACCUUGUGCUCGCUGACAAGGGCUUUCCUCAAAUCAGGAGUGCUCUUGUGGAGCGAGGAGUUCAAUUUCAGAUGCCAAUCUUUGCAGGCCAAAUGAGCCUUUUACACGUGAGGAUGUUCUCAGCACCUACAAGAUUGCAAGUGCAAGGAUACAUGUUGAGCGGUGCAUACAGUGCAUGAAGCUUUUCAGAAUAUUGUCAGAAAGACUCUUCUGAUCUGCUUCCUCACAUUCGCAAAAUCAUCGACAUGUGUGCAGUGCUGGCAAAUUUGCAGGCUCCAAUUAUUAAGGACAAAGAUUAGUGGCGUGCAAGAAAAUCAUAGCAUGGCAUCUAUAAUAGUGCCUUGUACAUAUCCAUUCCGCCAGAAAAAGAAAGGUACUUUCGGCCCAUAAUUGUAAAUGCUCUCUUAAUCAGUGCUACAUCUUGACUCCACAGAGGGAAAGAAACACUCCACCGCGCCUCGAAGUUCCCUAAAUUUCAGUUUCAAAGAGGAUUUUCUUUGCUAGGAGGGCAUUUCAAUUCUAGGAUGAUUUGUGAAUACUGGCCUUAAUCUUAUGUCAUACUUUUUAUGAGGGCCUUAGUCUUAUGUGUGCACAUUUGUAAAACUAAGCUGUAGUGCUUCCGUGGAUUGCUGCAUGUUUACCACUGGUGCAUGAAGCUGCAAGCUAUAACAUGCUUCUUUAUCCUAAUUAUUCAGUGUUUGUGAGCACGUUUAUCGUCCAAAAUACGUGGUCACCAUGUUGAAGUGAUUCAUUAUGUAGAGUAUGUGCAUGAAACUAGUUUGUAGCAUUUGUGUUCGAGCGUGCUUGGCUAUUCACCUUGUGCAUUUUUGUAAGUUGUAUCACUGUUUGCCCACUCUGAGUUGGCAUUGUUCUUGCAAUAUUUUAGUAACAUAAUUAACAAACUCUGUAAAUGUUUGUGAAGACCAUUUGUAAUGUAUGCAGAUGUGCAACAGCUCUGAAAUUCAUUUGUUUCAUCUUCUCACUACGCUGCCUUGUUCAUGGUUUUGCAUGUGGUAGCACACAUAAAUGUGCAUGCAUUUAUACAACUUAGCAAGUUAUGUCAAUGGAACACAAUUUAUUAUAAUUUUCACAUCAAUGUAAAAGUCGACCAACCAGUAAUGUGACAAAGUUUGAAGUGCAGUAACAGAAAAAAAAAUUUUGUUUUGAUCUGAAGGGUGUGUAAAGAUUGUUGAUAGAGCUGUGCCUAUUUCUCUAGAAGUUUCUCAUUUUUCCUGCUUUAGUGUUCUCACAUUUUGUACACUUUGUGUUGCCCUUCCACGUGCCACUUCUUAUUUUGUAGUAGAAAUUGGCAUCGUCCACCUAUGUGUACCCAUGUACAGAUAGG